GGAAAUUUCCUAAGAUAGAUCAGUCACAUUCUCUUUUUUCCUGUGAGUGGUUCUGCACUAUUUUGGGUGCAUCCCUUUAGCUUGGGGUGGCUGUACAGAGGCCCGGAAUCCCCCUCCCCUAUGGGAUCAGCAUGGUGCCAUCCUGAAAUAUUCCCCCAUGGCAGGAGAUGUGGUAAGGUGGAUGGAACACAUUUCCUUUUUCAUGUGAGCAGUUCUGAGCCAUUUUGGAAGCAUCUCAUUAGAUGGGAGUGGCCGAACUUCGGCACAGAAACCAACUCCAAUAUUAGACCAACGUCAUGACAUCCUGAAAUAUUUCCCUGUUGCAGGAGAUGUGGUAAGGUGGAUGGAACGAAUUCUCUUUUUUCCUGUGAGUGUUUCUGAGCCAUUUUGGAAGCAUCUGAUUAGCUGUGAUCAUUGGUAUGGUGGCCCGGAAGCCACCUCAAAUAUUGGAGUGGCAUGGUGCCAUGCCAAAUGCUCCCUCAUGGCAGGAUAUUUGGUAAGGUAGAUGGAACACAUUCCCUUUUUUCUUGUGAGCCAUUCUGAUUCAUUUCAGAAGCAUCACAUUAGCUGGGAGUGGCUGUACAGUGGCCCGAAAUCCCCCUCCACUAUGGGAGUGUCAUGGUGCCAUCCUGAAAUAUUUCCCCAUGGCAAGAGAUGUGGUAAGGUGAAUCGAACACCUUCUCUUUAUUCCUGUGAUAUUUUCUGAGCCAUUUUGGAAGCAUCCCAUUAGCUGGGAGCUGCUAUACAGUGGCCAGGAAGCCGCCUCCACUCUGGGAGCAGCAUUGUGCCAUCCCAAAAUAUUUCCCCGUGGCAGGAGAUGUGAUAAGGUGGAUGGAACACAUUCUCUUUUUUCCUGUGAGCAGUUCUGAACCAUUUUGGAAGCAUUCCAUUAGCUGCAAAUGGUCGUCCAGUGGCACACAAUCAGCCUCCACUACUGGAGUGAGGUAGUGCGAGGCCACAAUCCUCCCCCAUGGCAUGAGAUGUGGUAUGACAGAUUGAACGCAAUCUCUUCUUCUUGUGAUAGGUUAUAAAAAAUUUUGGAAGCAUCCUGUUAGCUGGGAGAGGCCAUAUGGUGGCCUGGAAUCUACCUUCACUCCUGGUGUUGGGUAGUGCCUGGCCAGAAUCCUCUCCCUUGGCAGGAGAUGUGGUAUGGCAGAUUGAACACAAUCUCUUUUUUCCUGUGAUAUUUUUCUGAGCCAUUUCUGAAGCAUCCCAUUAGCUGGGAGUGGCCAUACAGUGGCCAGGAAGCCACCUCCACACUCUUAGCAGCAUUUUGCCAUACCAAAAUAUUCCCCCGUGGCAGGAGAUGUGUUAUGUUCAUUGGAACGCAUUCUCUUUAUUCCUGUGAGUGGUUCAGAGCCAUUUCAGAAGAAUUCCAUUAGCUUGGAGCAGACAUACAGUGGACUGGAAUUUGUCUCCACUAUGGGAGCAGCGUGGUGCCCUGCUAGAAUCCUCCCCGAGGGCAGGAGAUGUGGUAUUACAGAUUGAACAAAAUCUCAUUUUCCUGUAAUUGGUUCUGAGCCAUUUUGGGAAGCAUCCCAUUACCUGGGAGUGAUUGUACCAUGGCCUGGAAUCUGCCUCCACUAAGGGAGCAGCAUGGUCCCAGGACAGAAUCCUCCCCUGUGACAGGAGAUGUGGUAUGGUAUAUUGAACACAAUCUCUUUUUACUGUGAGUGGUUCUGAGCCAUUUCAGAAGAAAUCCAUUACCUGAGAGCAGCAGUAUGGUUGCCAGGAAGCCACCUCCACUAAGGGAGCAGCAUUGUGCCAUCCCAAAAUAUUCCCAGGUGGCAGUAGAUGUGGUAAGAUGGAUGGAAAACAUUCUCUUUUUUCCUGUGAGUGGUUCUGAGCCAUUUCAGAAGCAUCCCAUUAGCUGUGCUCAUCAGUACCUUGGCCCAGAGUCUGCCUCAAGUAUGGGAGCAGCAUAGUGCCAUGCCCGAAUCUACCCCCAUUGCAGCAAUUUGGUAACAUAGAACGAAUGCAUUCUCUUUUUUCCUGUGAGCUGUUCUGAGCCAUUUUGGAAGCAACCUAUUAGGAGUUGUGGUUCGGUGGCCAGGAAGAUGUCUCCACUUCGGGAGCAGCAUUGUGUCAUCCCAAAAUAAUCCCCCAUGGCAGGAGAUGUUUUAAGGUGGACUGUAUGCAUUCUCUUUUCUCUUGUGAAUGGUUCUGAGCCAUUUUGGAAGCAUCAAAUUUCCUGGGAGUGGCCUUAUGGUGUCCCGGAAUCCGCCUCCACUACUGGAGCAGGGUAGUGCCAGGCCAGAAUCCUCCCCUGCUGCAGGAGAUGUUUUAUCACAGAUUGAAUGCAAUCUCUUUUUCCCUGUGAGCUGUUCUGAGCCAUUUCAGAAGCAUCCCAUUAGCUGGGAUCAUCCAAAGGAUGGCCUGGUAUCUGCCUCCACUACUGGAGUGGGAUAGUACCAGGCCAGAAUCCUCUCCCAUGGCAGGAGAUGUGGUAUGGCAGAAGGAACGCUUUCUCUUUAUUCCUGUGAGUGGUUCUGAGCCUUUUUGGAAGCAUCCCCUUAGCUGUGAUCAUCGGUGCAUUGGCCCAGAGUCUGCCUCCACUACUGGAGCAGUAUGGUGCCAUGCUGGAAAACCCCCAUUGCAGGUAAUUUGGUAAGGUAGAUCGAACACAUUCUCUUUUUUACUGUGAGUGGUUCUGAGCCAUUUCAGAAGCAACCCAUUAGCUGGGAGUGGGAGUAGGGUGGCCAGGAAGCCACCUCCACUAUGGGAGAGGCAUUGUGCCAUCCCAAAAUAUUCCCCUGUGGCAGAUGUGGUAAUGUGGAUGGAAAGCAUUCUUGUUUUUCCUGUGAGCAGUUCUGAGCCAUUUCGGAAGCAUCCCAUUAGCUGGGAGCGGCUGGGAGGUGGCCUGGAAGCCGCCUCCACUAAUGGAGCAGGGUAGGGCCAGGCCAGAAUCCUCCCCCGUGGCUGGAGUUGUGGUAUGGCAGAUGGAACGCAGUCUCUUUUUUCUUAUGAUGGUUUCUGAGCCAUUUUGGAAGCAUCCCGUUAGCUGGGAGUGGCCGAACAGGUGGCCCGGAAUCUGCCUCCUCUAUGGGAGUAGUGUGGUACCUUGCCAGAAUCCUCCCCCUUGGCAGGAAUGUGGCAAGGUAGAUGGAACUGAAUCUGUUUCUUCCUGUGAGUGGUUCUGAGCCAUUUUGGAAGCAACCCAUUAGCUGUGUCCAGUGGUAUGGGGGACAGGAAGCCACUUCCACUAGGACAUCAGCAUUGUGCCAUCCCAAAAUAUUCCCCCAUGGCAGGACAUGUGGUAAGGUGAAUGGAACGCAUUAUCAUUUUUCCUGUGAGCAGUUCUGAGCCUUUUCGGAAGCAUCCCAUUUCUGGGAGUGGCCAUACGGUGGCCAGGAAGCCACCUCCACUUUGGGAGUGGAGUGGUGCCAUGCCAGAAUCCUCCACUGUGGCCGGAGAUGUGGUAAAGUAGAUCGAAUGCAAUCUGCUUUUUACUGUGAGCUGUUCUGAGCCAUUAUGGAAGCAUCCCAUUAGCUGGCAUCAGACAUACGGUGGCCAGGAAGCUGCCUUGACUACUGGAACAGGGUAUUGCCAGGCCAGAAUACUCCGCCAUAGCAGGAGAUGUGGUAUGGCAGGUCAAAAGCUUUCUCUUUUUUCCUAUGAGUGUUUCUGAGCCCUUUCAGAAGCAUCCCAUAAGCUGUGAUCAUCAGUAGGGUGGCCUGGAGUCUGCCUCCACUCUGGGAGCAGCAUGGUGCCAUGUCAGAAUCCUCCCCCAUUGCAAGAAAUUUGGUAACAUAGAUCGAACACAUUCUGUUUUUUCCUGUGAGUGGUUCUGAGCCAUUUUGGAAGCAACCCAUUAGCUGGGAGUGGCAGUAUGUUGGCCAGGAAGAUGCCUCCACUGCAGUAGUGCCAUUUUGCCAUCCCAAAAUAUUCCCCCGUGGCAGGAGAUGUGGUAAGGUGGAUGGAACACAUUCUCUUUUUUCCUGUGAGCUGUUCUGAGCCAUUUGAGAAGCAUCCUGUUAGCUGUGAUCAUCGGUACUGUGGCCAGGUGUCUGCCUUCAAUUUGGGAGUGGCAUGGUGCCAUGCCAGAAUCCUCCCCCAUUACAGGAAAUGUGGUAAGGCAGAUUGAACGCAUUGUCUUUUUCCUGUGAGCAGUUCUGAGCCAUGUGAGAAGCAACCCAUUAGCUGGGAGUGGCAGAACGGUGGCUGGGAAGAUGCCUCCACUUGGAGAGCAUCAUUGUGCCAUUCCAAAAUACUCCCCUGUAGCAGGAGAUGUGGUAAGAUGGAUGGAACACAUUCUCUUUUUUACUGUGUGUGGUUCUGAACCAUUUUGGAAGCAUCCAAUUAGCUGGGAGUGGCUGUAAGGUGGCCUGAAGUCGGCUCCACUAUGGGCGUGGAGUGAUGCCUUGCCAGAAUCCUCCCCUGUGGCAGGAGACGUGUUAAGGUAGAUCGAACGAAAUCUCUUUUUUACUGUGAGAGGUUCCGAGCCAUUUCAGAAGCAUCCCAUUAAAUGGGAGUGUCCGUAAUGUGGCCCAGAAACAGCCUCCAAUAAGGUAGUGACAUGGUGCCAUCCCAAAAUAUUCCCCCUUGCAGGAGAUGUGGUAAGUUAGAUAGAACACACUCUCUUUUUUACUUUGAGAGGUUCUGAGUCAAUUUAGAAGCAUCCCGUUAGCUCAGAUCGGGCUUAUGUCAAACUGGAAGGCAACUCCAUUACAGGAGCAGUGUAGUGCCAGGACAGAAACCUCCUCUGUGGCAGGAGAUGUGGUAUCACAGAUUGAAAACCAACUCAUUAUUCCUGUGACAGGUCCUGAGCAAUUUUGGAAACAACCCGUUAGCUUGGAGUGGUGGUUCAUUGGCCAGGAUGACGCUUCCACUUUGAGAGCAGAAUUGUGCCAUCUCAAAAUAUUCCCCCAUGGUACGAGAUGUGGUAAGGUGAAUGGAACGCAUUCGGAUUAGGGUAAGUUCAUGGUGAGGGUUAAGGAUAAUGUAGAAUUUCAAGUACCUGGGUAUUGGAAUUUGUUCCUGGUGCUUAGGGUUAGGGAUAGGAUUAGUUUUGGGUUUAGGGUUCCAUUUCAUGUACCUGAUGUUUGGAGUGUGGGUAUGAUUUUGGGGGUUAGGGUUCUUCUUUUAGUAAGUGUCAUGGAUAGGGCUGAAAUUGAGGUACCUGAAAAUGACUUAGGGUUAGGGAAGGGUAAGUGUUAGGGUUAGGGUUAGGGUUAGGGUUAGGGUUAGGGUGAUAGAUAGCAUUGAAAUUGAAAUGCUUGGGUCUUCAAGUGUGGGUUGGAAAAUUAGUAUUAGUGUAAGUUCGUGGGGAGGGAGAGGGAUAAUGUCAAAUGUCAAGCACCUGGGUAUUGUGAUUUGGUCCUGCGCCUUAGGGUUAGGGUUAGGGUUAGGAGUAGGUUUAGGUUUAGGGUUCCAAUUCAUGUACCUGACGUUUGGAGUGUGGGUAUGAUUGUUAGGGUUAGGGUUCUUCUUUUCGUAAGGGUCAUGGAUAGUGCAGAAAUAGCGG
rnacentral:lncRNA from 1 species